AAAAAAUCAAGAGUGAGAAAGUUCUUAGUUUUUCAUAAAGUUCUUAGUUUUCAAAUUUUGUAAGUUAGUUCAAAAAAAAAGUCUACAUUAGUUUUUUAGUUCUUCAUUUCCGAUAGCUAUCAAGUUUUUAGGGAACUCCCGAAAGGGAAAACUCACUUCUUCCUUAAGACAUGUAAGUAGUCGUUACAUAGAUCUUUGUAUAUUUCUCCUAAGUUUGUAAAUUAUGUUGAAUUAAUGAAGUUCAUAUUUUUUCUGUCACAUGUGCUUUAAUUAUUAUAAGAUUUGAAUUGCCGGCGGUUC
rnacentral:lncRNA from 1 species